rnacentral:rRNA from 1 species
GAUGAACGCUGGCGGCGUGCCUAAUACAUGCAAGUCGAGCGAACAGACGAUGAGCUUGCUCCUCUGACGUUAGCGGCGGACGGGUGAGUAACACGUGGAUAACCUACCUAUAUGACUGGGAUAACUUCGGGAAACCGGCGCUAAUACCGGAUAAUAUAUUGAACCGCAUGGUGCAAUAGUGAAAUACGGUUUUGCUGUCACUUAUAGCUGGAUCCGCGCCGCAUUAGCUAGUUGGUAAGGUAACGGCUUACCAAGGCAACGAUGCGUAGCCGACCUGAGAGGGUGAUAGGCCACACUGGAACUGAGACACGGUCCAGACUCCUACGAGAGGCAGCAGUAGGGAAUGUUCCGCAAUGGGCGCAAGCCUGACGGAGCAGCCCCGCGUGAGUGAUGAAGGUCUUCGGAUCGUAAAACUCUGUUAUUGGGGAAGAACAACUGUGUAAGUAACUAUGCACGUCUUGACGGUACCUAAUCAGAAAGCAACGGCUAACUACGUG